rnacentral:rRNA from 1 species
GACGAACGCUGGCGGCGUGCUUAACACAUGCAAGUCGAACGGAAAGGCCCUGCUUUUUUGGUGUGCUCGAGUGGCGAACGGGUGAGUAACACGUGAGUAACCUGCCCUUGACUUUGGUAUAACUUCAGGAAACUGGGGCUAAUACCGGAUAGGAGCUCCUGCUGCAUGGUGGGGGUUGGAAAGUUUCGGCGGUUGGGGAUGGACUCGCGGCUUAUCAGCUUGUUGGUGGGGUAGUGGCUUACCAAGGCUUUGACGGGUAGCCGGCCUGAGAGGGUGACCGGCCACAUUGGGACUGAGAUACGGCCCAGACUCCUACGGGAGGCAGCAGUGGGGAAUAUUGCACAAUGGGCGGAAGCCUGAUGCAGCAACGCCGCGUGCGGGAUGACGGCCUUCGGGUUGUAAACCGCUUUCGCCUGUGACGAAGCGUGAGUGACGGUAAUGGGUAAAGAAGCACCGGCUAACUACGUG